CCUACGGGGGGCAGCAGUGAGGAAUAUUGGUCAAUGGCCGAGAGGCUGAACCAGCCAAGUCGCGUGAGGGAAGACGGCCCUACGGGUUGUAAACCUCUUUUGUCGGGGAGCACAGCGAGUCACGUGUGACUCAUUGAGAGUACCCGAAGAAAAAGCAUCGGCUAACUCCGUGCCAGACGACGCGGUACUACGGAGGAUGCGAGCGUUGUCCGGAUUUAUUGGGUUUAAAGGGUGCGAAGGAGGAGGUGCAAGUCAGCGGUAAAAUUGCGGGGCGCAACCCCGUACUGCCUUUGAAACUGCAUCCCUUGAGUGCGCGAGAAGUAUGCGGAAUGCGUGGUGUAGCGGUGAAAUGCAUAGAUAUCACGCAGAACUCCGAUUGCGAAGGCAGCAUACCGGCGCGCAACUGACGCUCAUGCACGAAAGCGUGGGUAUCGAACAGGAUUAGAUACCCCUGUAGUC
rnacentral:rRNA from 1 species